rnacentral:rRNA from 1 species
ACUUUUAUGGAGAGUUUGAUCCUGGCUCAGAGUGAACGCUGGCGGCGUGCCUAAUACAUGCAAGUCGAACGAUGAAGCUUCUAGCUUGCUGGAAUGCUGAUUAGUGGCGCACGGGUGAGUAACGCAUAGGUCAUGUGCCUCUUAGUUUGGGAUAGCCAUUGGAAACGAUGAUUAAUACUAGAUACUCCCUACGGGGGAAAGAUUUAUCGCUAAGAGAUCAGCCUAUGUCCUAUCAGCUUGUUGGUAAGGUAAUGGCUUACCAAGGCUAUGACGGGUAUCCGGCCUGAGAGGGUGAACGGACACACUGGAACUGAGACACGGUCCAGACUCCUACGGGAGGCAGCAGUAGGGAAUAUUGCUCAAUGGGGGAAACCCUGAAGCAGCAACGCCGCGUGGAGGAUGAAGGUUUUAGGAUUGUAAACUCCUUUUGUUAGAGAAGAUAAUGACGGUAUCUAACGAAUAAGCACCGGCUAACUCCGUGCCAGCAGCCGCGGUAAUACGGAGGGUGCAAGCGUUACUCGGAAUCACUGGGCGUAAAGAGCGCGUAGGCGGGAUAGUCAGUCAGGUGUGAAAUCCUAUGGCUUAACCAUAGAACUGCAUUUGAAACUACUAUUCUAGAGUGUGGGAGAGGUAGGUGGAAUUCUUGGUGUAGGGGUAAAAUCCGUAGAGAUCAAGAGGAAUACUCAUUGCGAAGGCGACCUGCUGGAACAUUACUGACGCUGAUUGCGCGAAAGCGUGGGGAGCAAACAGGAUUAGAUACCCUGGUAGUCCACGCCCUAAACGAUGGAUGCUAGUUGUUGGAGGGCUUAGUCUCUCCAGUAAUGCAGCUAACGCAUUAAGCAUCCCGCCUGGGGAGUACGGUCGCAAGAUUAAAACUCAAAGGAAUAGACGGGGACCCGCACAAGCGGUGGAGCAUGUGGUUUAAUUCGAAGAUACACGAAGAACCUUACCUAGGCUUGACAUUGAGAGAAUCCGCUAGAAAUAGUGGAGUGUCUGGCUUGCCAGACCUUGAAAACAGGUGCUGCACGGCUGUCGUCAGCUCGUGUCGUGAGAUGUUGGGUUAAGUCCCGCAACGAGCGCAACCCCCUUUCUUAGUUGCUAACAGGUUAUGCUGAGAACUCUAAGGAUACUGUCUCCGUAAGGAGGAGGAAGGUGGGGACGACGUCAAGUCAUCAUGGCCCUUACGCCUAGGGCUACACACGUGCUACAAUGGGGUGCACAAAGAGAAGCAAUACUGCGAAGUGGAGCCAAUCUUCAAAACACCUCUCAGUUCGGAUUGUAGGCUGCAACUCGCCUGCAUGAAGCUGGAAUCGCUAGUAAUCGCAAAUCAGCCAUGUUGCGGUGAAUACGUUCCCGGGUCUUGUACUCACCGCCCGUCACACCAUGGGAGUUGUGUUUGCCUUAAGUCAGGAUGCUAAAUUGGCUACUGCCCACGGCACACACAGCGACUGGGGUGAAGUCGUAACAAGGUAACCGUAGGUGAACCUGCGGUUGGAUCACCUCCUUU